rnacentral:ncRNA from 1 species
GAUAGGUCUCUGUCGCUAGCGUGAUUGGACACUGACGCUGAGUCAACUAGCCUUGUCGGCACGGUUCUUCGCGCGCAGGAGCCGAGGGCGGUCCGAGCCAUGAGGGGGGAGGCUCGGACCGCCCGUC